UUGAAAUAUUGGUUCCCGUAGGAUCACAGAAGUUAAGCAACGUCGAGCUUGGUCAGUACUGCAUGGGUUACCGAUUGGGAAUACAAGGCGCUGUAA